rnacentral:misc_RNA from 1 species
AUUUUUUUUUUUUAAUUUUUCCCAGUUUUCUGCUUUCUUUUUCAAAUGAACAAACUGGGUUUUGAUGCUGACAAUGUUUACUUGACCCAAACAACCAUCAAACAUGCAAGUGCAGCCAGAGACCGGUGAGAUAGAUGAACUAUACUAAAGAUGGAUAAUUGGAAUGCUGAAAAUAAGGGAUACCAUUGGUUUCAGAAAUCGAU